GUGUCAGCCGCCGCGGUAAUACGUAAGAGGCUAGCGUUGUCCGGAAUCACUGGGCGUAAAGCGCGUGUAGGUGGCUUGAUAAGUCGGAUGUGAAAUCCCCGGGCUCAACCCGGGAACUGCGUCCGAAACUGUCUGGCUGGAGAACAGGAGAGGAGAGUGGAAUUCCGGGUGUAGCGGUGAAAUGCGUAGAUAUCCGGAGGAACACCAGUGGCGAAGGCGGCUCUCUGGCCUGUUUCUGACACUGAGACGCGAAAGCGUGGGGAGCGAACGGGAUUAGAUACCCCUGUAGUCC
rnacentral:rRNA from 1 species